rnacentral:rRNA from 1 species
GACGAACGCUGGCGGCGUGCUUAACACAUGCAAGUCGAACGGAAAGGCCCUGCUUUUGUGGGGUGCUCGAGUGGCGAACGGGUGAGUAACACGUGAGUAACCUGCCCUUGACUUUGGGAUAACUUCAGGAAACUGGGGCUAAUACCGGAUAGGAGCUCCUGCUGCAUGGUGGGGGUUGGAAAGUUUCGGCGGUUGGGGAUGGACUCGCGGCUUAUCAGCUUGUUGGUGGGGUAGUGGCUUACCAAGGCUUUGACGGGUAGCCGGCCUGAGAGGGUGACCGGCCACAUUGGGACUGAGAUACGGCCCAGACUCCUACGGGAGGCAACAGUGGGAAUAUUGCACAAUGGGCGGAAGCCUGAUGCAGCAACGCCGCGUGCGGGAUGACGGCCUUCGGGUUGUAAACCGCUUUCGCCUGUGACGAAGCGUGAGUGACGGUAAUGGGUAAAGAAGCACCGGCUAACUACGUG